rnacentral:rRNA from 1 species
UACGGAGGAUCCGAGCGUUAUCCGGAUUUAUUGGGUUUAAAGGGAGCGUAGGUGGAUUGUUAAGUCAGUUGUGAAAGUUUGCGGCUCAACCCCGUCGUGCCGUUGAAACUGGCGUUCUUGAGUGAGCGAGAAGUAUGCGGAAUGCGUGGUGUAGCGGUGAAAUGCAUAGAUAUCACGCAGAACUCCGAUUGCGAAGGCAGCAUACCGGCGCUCAACUGACGCUCAUGCACGAAAGCGUGGGUAUCGAACAGG